UAGCCCAGAGUUUUUUUUUUUCCCCCCUCGCUGCUGCUAGGUUGCCGUGCCCAGCCGGCCCGCGGAGACGCUUUGGGAUUGGUGGUCGCUUCUCCCUGGAAGAAGGGGCGCGGCGGUGGAGGGCAGAGUUGUCACUAAUGACUACCCUUUAGGGGAGGAUAUGUGGGUAUCUUAGACUCGUGGUUGUUUGUUAUAAAAAGAACCUAAGGAGACUAGGUUUGUACUUCUACGUGGCGCGUACGUUUUAGACACCUCUUUAUCCUGUGUGGCUAUUCCUUGUGGUCCUACCUACGGGGAUAACACUUCGCUCGGUGAACCCACUUCUUACAGGGUGAUGCGUUCAGUGGACAAAGUACACACUUCCCUGAUUGGUGUUAGGUCGGGUCACAGCAGAUGAGUGGUGCUGUGUUCACCAAGUCGUUGUCUCCUUUCCUUACUUCCUUCGAUAGGUCCUUAAGUACCGUCGUGGGUACUUCUUUUCCUUCUUCUCCGCGAUGCGGUUCUUCACAUCUUGUUCCCCGUGACACGGUUGCGCACAGGUCUUGACUUUCCUCUCUCUUUCUACCCCCGCGAUGAGGUCGGGAACAGGUCUUAACUUUUCUCCCUCUCCCUCUACCCUUGGAACCUCGUUUCUUCGGGGUACUGAACAGUCCUCAUCAAACAAACUAUGAGAAGGAAAGACAUUCUUAAGUAAGUCAUGUGAUAAGGUCCCCUCGGUUACAAUCAUUAACCUCCUGUCGAUAGACUCCGUUCGUUAUUCACAUAAUCCUUUGAAAAAUGCAAUAGAACCUCUACGACCCAACUAUGCACGUUACAGUUACCUUCUCCGAUAUGCAAAGGACACAACAUUAACGAUAAAGAAAACACUCGUCUUAUACUGAUUACCCAGGAACGCGCCACGAAACGACCAUACAGUUACAUGACCCAAAAAACAUAAACCGCAUUUGAACAUACGUGACCCGCGAAGCGAACAUGUAGCACGACCUUAUACACCCCAAAAUGUAUAAAAAGAAGAAUUAGUGGUACGUCCGUAUUUAGACACCCGUGUGUAACACGGCCUUACCCACAACAACCACUCUAAGUAUUCGUAGUUCGAUGUUUUAAACCGAAACGGACCACGGCGUCGACGACACGCCUGAUAUUCUCUACCGG
rnacentral:rRNA from 1 species